rnacentral:rRNA from 1 species
AUUGAACGCUGGCGGCAGGCUUAACACAUGCAAGUCGAGCGGAGAUGAGGUGCUUGCACCUUAUCUUAGCGGCGGACGGGUGAGUAAUGCUUAGGAAUCUGCCUAUUAGUGGGGGACAACAUUCCGAAAGGAAUGCUAAUACCGCAUACGUCCUACGGGAGAAAGCAGGGGAUCUUCGGACCUUGCGCUAAUAGAUGAGCCUAAGUCGGAUUAGCUAGUUGGUGGGGUAAAGGCCUACCAAGGCGACGAUCUGUAGCGGGUCUGAGAGGAUGAACCGCCGCAAUGGGACUGAGACACGGCCCAGACUCCUACGGGAGGCAGCAGUGGGGAAUAUUGGACAAUGCGCGGAGGCCUGAUCCAGCCAGGCCGCGUGUGUGAAGCAGGCCUAGUGGUUGUAAAGCACUUUAAGCGAGGAGGAGGCUACCUGGAUUAAUACUCUAGGAUAGUGGACGUUACUCGCAGAAUAAGCACCGGCUAACUCUAUGCCAGCCGCCGCGGUAAGAC